UAGAAAAUUAGAAAUAUAUAUAGCCAUAGAGGGAAAAUACAUUUUACUGGUAAGUGAAGGACAAUAUUUAGUGUUUUGAGGCCUUUAUGAAUCGCGCAUGCGCUGUUAAAUUGAAGAAAAUAUCAGUAUGGCGGAGGUUAGUCCCGGAUAAGAUUUUUCUUAAAAUUUGAAGAAAUUGAUACCUGAAUCUAACCAGUUUCUGACCUCAAUUCAACCAAUACAAGGGGCAGGACGUGAAGUGGUUGCACACUUGGUUCAAGCGAGCGAAUUGGUUGCAAACUUGACAUUAUGGCAAACACGGCGUGAGUUUUUGAAAUGGGUAAACGAAUUUUUGCCAGGCAAAUGGGUUUCUUUGAUAUUUUAAAGUUCAUUAGUAUGUCUAUUCCAUAAUUCAAUAUAUAUGAAUAUAAAUAAUAUCAAUAAAUAAAUUUCAAAUUCAAUAAAUAUCACAUGUCAAAUUUCAAAAUAUCUACAUGAUCAAUUUAUAUCUUCAAUAACUUCGUCAAAACAGAAUCAAGGAUGCUGAAACCUUUAACCAAGUGUGGCAUAUAUAUUGCAUUAUGGAACAGACAUACCAAUGAACUUCAAAAUAACAAAGAAACCCACUUGCCUGGCAAAAAUUCGUUCACCCGUUUCAAAAAAUCACGCCAUAUUUGCCAUUAUGUCAAGUUUGCAACCAAUUCGCUCGCUUGAACCAAGUGUGCAACCACUUCACAUCCUGCCCCUUGCAAUAUAUAACAAUAAUGUAACUAAAAUGUGUCCAUAAUCUGACCAAAUUCAGACAUUCCGAAAAGUAACAGAAAUCAAGAUGGCACAUGAGAUACAUUUAAAGAACAACAAAUACCGGCAGUGGGUUAAGGCUGGCCUAGGCUUGGGUUAUCUUAAAGAGGGACUUGCGCCAUUUUGUGAUGACAUAGGAAGACAGCAGCACAACGAUAUUAUAAACCAAAUACAACAAACAAAGACUCCUCAACCAAACAUACCAUGUGGCGCCUGUCAGAUAACAACUCUCCAGCCAGAUCAUGUCCGAGUCUCAAAAGGGAUAUGUCCCCUCAAACAAGAUAAAUGUAACUGUUGCUUUCCAAAUAAUAACCUACCCUGUCCAAACAAUGUAUGUGGUGCCAUCUAUGACAGCAUUAUACAGAGUCAUGCAUCAAUGCCACCGGCACCUUUUUGGAAAAACAGUGAUGUCCGACAGUGGUCAACAGAACCGUGGGAGGUUUGCAAAUGUUUUAUAAAUGCUCCUGGGUACAAGGACAAGACAUCAGCAGUCGACACUGAUUGCACUGGGUUGCUUCAUGUUAUCAUAAAUAACAAUUACUUUCAUAGUCAUAUUGGAUGCAAUGUUACAGGACCAAACAAUCUUUUUUCAAAGGUAACUAGAUUUGUAUACUAUAAUUAUUAUACCCCCAAAAACGAAGUUUGGGGGGGGGUAUAUAGGAGUCACCCGGUGGUCGGUCGGUCGGUUGGUCGGUCGGACGGUCCAGACGUCCGUUGCAUUUUCCUUGUCCGGAGCAUAACUUGAAAACUAAUGGUUGGAAUUCAAUAUAACUACAUAUAAUGGUCAAGCACAUUGAGAGGAAGUGCAGUGCACAAGAACCAUAACUCUAUCUUGACUAAUUACAGAGUUAUUGCCCUUUGUUACUUUUCCUUGUCCGGGGCAUAACUUUAAAACUACUGGUUGGAAUUCAAAACAACUUCAUACAAUUGUCAAACACAAUAAGGGGAAGUGCAGUGCACAAGAACCAUAACUCUAUCUAAAGUAAUUACAGAGUAAUUGCCCUUUGUUUCUUUUCCAUUGCUUUUUUUUGUCUGUUGUAUUUUCCUUGUCCGGAGCAUAACUUAAAGACUAAUGGUUGGAAUUCAAUAUAACUACAUACAAUGGUCAAGCACAUUGAGAGGAAGUGCAGUGCGUAAGAAACAUAACUCUAUCUUGACUAAUUACAGAGUUAUUGCCCUUUGUUACUUUUCCUUGUCCGUGGCAUAACUUGAAAACUACUGGUUGGAAUUCAAAACAACUUCAUACAAUUGUCAAACACAAUAAGGGGAAGUGCAGUGCACUAGAACCAUAACUCUAUCUAAAGUAAUUACAGAGUUAUUGCCCUUUGUUGCUUUUCCAUUGCCUUCUUUUUUUUGUCGGGACCAUAACUUGAAGACUAAUGGUUGGAAUUCAAUAUAACUACAUACAAUGGUCAAGCACAUUGAGAGGAAGUACAGUGCAUAAGAACCAUAACUCUAUCUAAAGUAAUUACAGAGUUAUUGCCCCUUAUUACUUUUCCAUUGCUUUCUUUUGUCCGGACCAUAACUUGAAGACUAAUUGUUGCAAUUCAUUAUAACUUCAUACAAUGGUCCAGCACAUUCAGAGGAAGUGCAGUGCACAAGAACCAUAACUCCAUUUUGACUUAUUACAGAGUUACUGCCCUUUGUUUCUUUUCCUUGUCCAGAGCAUGACUUUAAAACUACUGGUUGGAAUUCAAAACAACUUCAUACAAUGGCCAAGCACAAUAAGGGGAAGUGCAGUGCACAAGAACCAUAACUCCAUCUUGACUAAUUACAGAGUUAUUGCCCUUUGUUACUUUUCCAUUGGUUUUGUCCGGACCAUAACUUGAAGACUUAUUGUUGGAAUUCAUUAUAACUUCAUACAAUGGUCAAGCACAUUGAGAGGAAGUGCAGUGCAUAAGAACCAUAACUCCAUCUUGACUAAUUACAGAGUUACUGCCCUUUGUUACUUUUCCUUGUCCAGAGCAUGACUUUAAAACUACUGGUUGGAAUUCAAAACAACUUCAUACAAUGGUCAAGCACAAUAAGGGGAAGUGCAGUGCACAAGAACCAUAACUCCAUCUUGACUAAUUACAGAGUUAUUGCCCUUUGUUACUUUUCCUUGUCCAGAGCAUAACUUGAAAACUACUGUUUGGAAUUCAGUACAACUUCAUACAGUUGUCAAGGACAUUAAAAGGAAGUGCAGUGCACAAGAGCCAUAACUCCAUUUUGACAAAAUACAGAGUUACUGCCCUUUGAUACUUUUCCUUGUCCGGAGCAUAACUUAAAACGUACUGGUUGGAAUUCAAAACAACUUCAUACAAUGGUCAAGCACAAUAAGAGGAAGUGCAGUGCACAAGAACUAUAACUCUAUCUUCAGUAUUUAUAGAGUUAUUGCCCUUUGUUCUUUUUCUUUGUUUUUCUGGACUUAUUACAGAGUAAUUCAAUUAAACUUCAUCAAUGGCCAACCACAUUGAAAGGAAAUGCAACAUACAUGAACCACAAUUAUCUUUAAUUGUUUCAAUUCUAUUACAAGGUAUUCUGUUACUAGUAACAUCCUCAUUUCCGAAGCAGACUUGUGGGGGUAUUAAUCACAUUUAGUGAUAGUUCUAGUUAUGUUUAUU